rnacentral:rRNA from 1 species
AUGAACAAGGAGACGCUCAUGAAGAUGGUCGGCGCCGUCCGGACCAACGACAAGGGCGCCGUGCGCCGGAAGAAGAAGGCGGUGCACAAGACGGCGACUAGGGAUGACAAGCGGCUGCAGAGCAUGCUCAAGAGGGUUGGAAUCAACACCAUCCCCACCAUCGAGGAGGUCAACAUCUUCAAGGACGACCUCGUCAUCCAGUUCCUCAACCCCAAAGUGCAAGCGUCCAUCGCCACAAACACAUGGGUGGUCAGUGGGACUCCCUAGACCAAGAGUAUGGAUCCAUCUCACUUCUCUAUCAUUUUUCCAUGA